rnacentral:misc_RNA from 1 species
GAUGAAGAACGUAGCGAAAUGCGAUAAGUAAUGUGAAUUGCAGAAUUCAGUGAAUCAUCGAAUCUUUGAACGCACAUUGCGCCCGCCGGUAUUCCGGCGGGCAUGCCUGUUCGAGCGUCAUUUCAACCAUCAAGCCCUGGGCUUGUGUUGGGGACCUGCGGCUGCCGCAGGCCCUGAAAUGCAGUGGCGGGCUCGCAAGACACACCGAGCGUAGUAGCUUACAACCUCGCUUUGGGAGUGCUGCGGGUGCUGGCUGUAAAGCGACCUUUUGCGUCUUUAGCACUAGGUUGACCUCGGAUCAGGUAGGAGGACCCGCUGAACUUAAGCAUAUCAAUAAGCGGAGGA